rnacentral:lncRNA from 10 species
GCGAGGAUGCGGACCUCUGCAGUGAGCUGCUGCAGGAGUCCCUGGACGCCCGGCGAGCACUUCCCGAGGCCUCGCUCUUCCACGAGAGCACCGCGUCCUCUGUGUGGCUGGAGGUGGUGGAGAGAGUGACCAGGUUCCUCGGGUCCGUCGUGACGGGGGAUGUUCACGGAACGCCAGGCACCAAAGGGCCAGAAGCGUCCCCCUGCAGGACCAGCACUUGGCCCUGGUCAUCCUGCUGGAGCUGGCUGUGCAGAGAGGCACGCUGAGCCAAAUGUUGUCUGCCAUCCUGUUGUUGCUUCAGCUGUGGGACAGCAGGGCACAGGAGACUGACAAUGAGCAUUCUGCCCAGGACACCAGCACCCCGCUUUUGCCCUUGCUGCAAAGGUUCCAGAGCAUCAUUUGCAGGAAGGAUACGCCCCACUCCGAGGGUGACAUGCACCUUUUGUCUGGCCCUCUGAGCCCCAGCGAGAGUUUCCUGAGGUACCUCACCCUUCCCCAAGACAGCGAGCUUGCCACUGAUCUGCGACAGACCGUGGUUGUCGUCAUGGGCCAUUUAGACCGUCCAGCUACGCCCUGUUUGCCUCCGCUGUGUAGCGCUCCGACGUCUCAUAAGGGAUCAUUGCAAGAGGUCAUAGGUUGGGGGUUAACAGGAUGGAAAUACUAUGCCAAUGUGAUUGGUCCGAUCCAGUGUGAAGGCCUGGCCAACGUGGGAGUCACACAGAUUGCCUGUGCAGAGAAGCGCUUCCUGAUUCUGUCACACAAUGGCCGUGUGCACACACAGGCCUACAAUAGUGACACACUGGCCCCACCGCUGGUCCAAGGCCUUGCCUCCAGAAACAUUGUAAAAAUUGCUGCCCAUUCUGAUGGUCAUCACUGCGUAGCCUUGGCUGCCACUGGAGAGGUGUACUCCUGGGCUUUGGGGACAGCGGACGGCUGGGCCAUGGGGACACUGUGUAUGUAUCGCUCAUUCCUGCAGGGACACACUCCUCUUUUAUGUUGCCAUAUCCUCGACAGGCUGGAGCGCAGGAGUGUGUGCAGGUGUUUUCCAGCUGCCCCGACGUGCAGCGCUGGGGUGGAGCGGGACACUGUGAUAUGCCCCCUCCUUGGUGACGGCUGAGGAACUCUCUGCCCAUGUGUGGAAGGCAAUGGGAUUCAGCCUUUCUGCUCUUUUCCACCCCGUGCAGCCUUGGCCGCCUUCUCUCUACUCAAACCGCAUCCCCACUGUGGAGUUUGCCAGAACAAAUCCCACAGCACUGUUCCUUCCUUCACAAACAGUUCCCCCUGUCUCCCAUAGAUAAGGUUGUCUCCCUUUCCUUCAACCAUUAGAUUAUUUUUACAGGAGCGAAAGUCAGCAGUUUCUUCGUAAUAUCAUCCUAUUCGGUGGAACCUUUUAUUGUGAAAGAACAGAAAUAAAGUUGUUAUAAAUGCCAGGUUGUAAAAAUUGGGAGGUCUGCCAGCCCCAUGAGUGGUGGGAACCCUCUUGUACUUUGCUGUUGUGCAGGGAACUCUGGCAUUAGGUUUAAAUGAAGGAUGUAUGUACACACCAACCCAGCAAGCCCAUUUCAUGCGGGCCGGAGCCCUGAGCAGGGAGCGGACAGUGCAGAACUUGAAAUGAGCGUAGUCAUGACUGCCCUUGUGUCCCUUGAGAGGAGCCUGGAGGGCAGGGGCCAUGCACACCACAGGGUGGAGUUGAGGGCAUCAUUGCCAAUGGCAUCCGCUGGGAAGAUCCCAAACUGGGAGAAAAGCAGAGUGAUGUGCAUCGUGUGGUACAUGUAUGCCAAGCUCAGCACAGCCCAACCCUGACAGUGUUGUAAGGGAUUCAGACAAAUAUAAAAUGAGUGAAAAACAAAAGAUCAAUCUCCGUGGAAUUUAUAGCUGUUACUCUCACAUUGGAUCCUAAGGGCUGGGAUUGACAUGGGGUACACGGGAUUUGAAAGGCAUUGAGGUACAGGACAGGGUGGUGUGUCUGCUUAUUUCCUUUAGGUAUUACUGACUUUGUAUAAAAUAUUUCAUAGUAAAACAAUUCUCAGUGCAGAGUAAGUGCUGGGAUGAGUAACUUAUCCCUUGUUCUAGGACUUCAAGGAAGGAAGAGAGAUCAGUGCAGAUGGCAGAAGCUGGAGAUAACCUUUUGGGGAAGUUGAAACUUAAGCUGAAUAAGGGAGAGGUUGUACUCGGGUAGAGUCAUUGGACUGUCGCUGUGUGCGCCUGUGCCACUGUGUGUAUUUUGCAAACUAGCAGGUCACAAAGUGAGUAAACCAUGCCUUUGGAGAGGCCCGGCUUCUAUCGAUUCUCAAGAAAAUGUCAUGCAACAUAGGAACGUAUUCUGGAUCCUAAGAAUAGGAUAUUUUGUUAACUUUGCAAUUUCUUCAACUAGUAAGACUUCUCUACCCUAAUCCCCACUGCCUCAUAGUUUUCAUUUGUAAAAUACAGACUGCAGAGUGCUGGCUUCAUUCCAUCCACAUUCAUUUAACAAAUACCUAUAAAUGUCAGUCAGCUUUGAGGCUUACGUACAACCAGACGACUGAGUUUCAGGUAUAGAGUUGGAUGGGUUUUGGCCAGUGCCCUCAGCUGGGGAGUUACCACCAUCAAGACAUGGGGCGUUCCCAUCGCUUCCAGGGCCCUGUUUGUACCCUUUGAGUUGAUGCCCACUUCCUCCCUCCAGUUCCUGACAACCUCUGAUCUGCCCUCUGUUGUUACUAUUUUGUCUUUGUCAUAACUGAAGGUAAACAAAGCCAUACAGUGUGUGGUGUUUCGUUUCUGGCGUCUUUCACGUAGCAUGAUGUCCUGAGAUCCAGCCGCGUUGCUGGGUGUGUGGGUAAUUCCUUCCUUCUGUUGCAGAUGGACCGUGGUUUUGGGCCAUUGUGAAGAAAGCUGCGGUGGACUUUACUGUAGAAGUCUCUUUUUUUUGAGAUGGCGUUUUGCUCUUGUUGCCCCAGUUGGAGUGCAAUGGCGUGAUCUCAGCUCACUGCAACCUCUGCCACCCGGGUUCAAGCGAUUCUCCUGCCUCAGCCUUCCAGUUGGCUGGGAUUACAGGGGCCCACCACCAUUCCCAGCUAAUUGUGUAUUUUUAGUAGAGACGAGGUUUCACCACGUUAGCCAGGCUGGUCUCAAACUCCUGACCUCAGGUGAUCCGCCCACCGCAGCCUCCCACAGUGCUGGGAUUACAGGUGUGAGCCACCGUGCCCAGCCUAUUGUACAAGUCUUUCACCCUGUUUUUGUAAUUCUACUGGAUACCAUGCUUGGCGUCGGGUUCCAACUUAACAAAAAGUCAUGGAGGUGUUAGGUGUUCAAAUUCUCUCUUCCUUAUUUUAUAAGAUUCCUGGAAGGUGAAACUGGCCUGAUGCUCUCAUGGUCUCCAUUUGGAUAGUGAAUUUCCUUUGCUAACACUAAUAAGAAAUAACACCAAGAAGAAGGGCAUUCAUGUUUAUUCCCUUCCUCCCCAAGUUCUCUGGAGGAGCCUAAGGUGAUCUCCGCCUUCUCUGGAAAGCAGGCCGGGAAGCAUGUGGUGCAUAUCGCUUGCGGGAGCACUUACAGCGCGGCCAUCACUGCGGAGGGGGAGCUGUACACCGGGAGCCGCGGGAACUACGGCCGGCUGGGCCACAGUAUGUCUGCCCUGCAUGAGUGGGAGCAUGCAGCAGGAGGUGGCCUCUCACAGGACUUAGGAACAGCAGUCCUAUCUGUUUGAAGGCUCCAGUGAGGACGAGGCCAUUCCAAUGCUGGUAGCUGGGCUUAAAGGACUGAAGGUCAUCGAUGUGGCGUGUGGGAGUGGGGACGCUCAAACCCUGGCUGUCACUGAGAACGGUACAUAGAGCUCUCGCCACCCAGGACCGGGCCUCGAGGACACGCUUGGCAGCUUCCCUGGAGGAAGUGAGAUGAGUACAGUGGGCCUCACGAGGCCACCCACCCUGUCGUCCAGUGGGUGUGGGAUCAGUGGCAUUGGUGAAGAGGCCGCGGUGGUUAUAUAUGUGUAUAUAUAUAUUUAUAUUAUUUUCUUCCCUAUGCUUGCUUUGAGUUUAUUUUGCUGUUGUUUAUCUAAGUAGUUGAGGUGGGAGCUUAUUGAUUUGACAGGGCUUGUUUGCCUGGGGCCUGUCAGCAGGUUAGCAGCUGUGUGGGUAUUCCUGUGUGGGCAUUUUAUUUUUUAAGAAUGAGAGUUGGGAUGGAAUGAUUGACACUCUGAAUUGUCUCUGGUUAGUAUUGUUACAUUUCUUAACGUUCGGCCACUCUUGAUUCCGUGUGGUAAUUCCUGCUAAGUCUUUCCGUGUUCUGUAGUCUGACGCUGCGGUAUCUGCUUGCUUUGAAUUUUGCUUUUGGGUUUGUGUUCCUAACUGAGAUCAUCCUCAUCUUUUUUCAGGGGUACAUGAUGAGGUUUGAUGGUUAAAGUCACGUUAAUUUUUUAGAAACGACUCGUCUGUCAGUAUUGUGGGGGUCUGUCCUUGGCAUCUUGUGUGUCUCUGGCGUUGUGGAGUCUUUCUGUGAAAUCAGCUGGGACCUGUCAGCUUGCUUUCUCUCCUGCAGAAGUUGAAUGGCAGAUUGAUAAUUGAGUGACUUUUGGGGAUUUCUUAGGUCAAAGAUGAAAAAUCAUUUCAGAUACUUCUCUAUAUGCAUAGGUCCCGCUGCCAUUGCCGGGACUGACAUUGUCAGAGCCAUCCUGUUUCUGCUACUGUGAGUCCUAGAGCAAAGGUGGUCUCCUCUGAAAGGCUCCUGCUCUCAAGGAGCUUUCCAUUGGACAUGUCGUCAUUUAAAAAUAUCUAUUUUAUCGAUAUCGAGUGAGGGGUAGACCUUAAAAUAUUUCCUGAUUAAAAGUUUUGUGAGGUCGGAGCUGUGUUAGGAGACUAGCUUUGCGUUCUUUAGUGUAGUUGCUACUUUAGGUGAAGUUUAUGAUGAUAACGUUGAGUAAACUGCCUUGAACAGGCUGCGGACAGUGUCUUCCUCACACUGGUGUUUCUUUGGUGCAGAUCUUGUAGGGAAGUGUCCCUGCUGUGCCGUUAUUUUCUGAGGCGACAGUUACGGUAGAAGUAUCCUACCCUGCAGUCUGGCCUUGGGGGACAGUGGGAAAUGCCCAGGCGGGCUACGUGAACAGCAUAAUCUUCAGCACAGCGUGUGAAAGUGCACCUCUGAUCUCUGUGUGCGGGUCUGCUGUGCUGCUUUCAUUGACCACGUCAUAGUGUGUCAUCUCCAGUUUCCGGUUCGCUCGGGGUCGGCCUGCUUUUGCAGGUGGAGUUGUAUUGGUGUGCCGGCUUGCCCACUCAUUUACGCAUUGUCUGUGGCUGCUUUCCUGUGACAGUGGCACAGCUGGGUCGUUGGGACAGAAAGCCCAGAGAGGCUAAAAAUAUUUACCAUCUGAUCGUUGAGGAAAAUAUUUGCCUAUCUUUAGUUAUUACAAAAUAGAAUGUGGGAACUUGUGGAGCAAUCUGAUAUCUUCUCUGAUUUCUUUUUCCUGAUCUUUUACAGUUUUCACCUUUAUGUAAUUUCACUUUUUUUUUUGUUUGUUUGUUUUUUGGAAGACAGAGUUUCGCUCUGUCACCCAGGCUGGAGUGCAGUGGUGCAGUCUCGGCUCACUGCAACCUCCACCUCCUGGGGUCAGGUAAUUCUCAUACCUCUGCUGGAUUAUGGAUGUUCACCAUCAUGCCUGGCUAAUUUCUGUAUUUUCAGUACAGACAGAGUUUCGUCUUGGUCCCCAGGCUGAUCCUGAACUCCAGGGCUCAAGUGAUCUGCUGGCCUUGGCCUCCCAGAGUGCUGGGAUUACAGGCAUGAGCCAGCGUGCCCAGCCUAACAAUUUUGGUUUUUAGCAGUUCACUUUCAUUAAGUUUUUGCAAAGUUUUCAGCUUAUUUUUCACAGUAAAAAUAAAACUAUUUACUUUUGCAAAUGUAUUUUAUCCCUUUAUGUAAUAUUUAAUCAGCUUACAUAAUUAUGCUGAUAUAUGCAGUUGGGAACACGUACAGUGGUACGGUUGACCAGCGGUCAGCACGGUGGCAACAGAAGCAGGCAGGCAAAUGGAAGGGUGGUCCGCAAGCGUCUGCAGUGUGCCGGGCC